rnacentral:lncRNA from 1 species
GGGGAAGGUUGGGGCAUGUUGGUUGGAGGCCCCAUAAGGGUUUGGGUGUUGAAGGGGCUAAGACUGGAGCAGGGAGGAGUCUGGGCUCACAUGCUGGAUAAAUGCUUCUGUUUGCAUUUUGGCCCAGAGAACCCUGAAGAGCAGGUAAGUUCUACUCAGGGUUGGCAGCUGGCUGGAAGACACUCCCCUUCCCGCCCCACCACGCACACACGUACGUUUCUGCUGACAAGUGUUCGAGAAAAACACGUCAUCAUCACAGAGUCCAUAGAUUACAGAUUUAGAGUUGGACGAAGAAGUCAUCCUGAUGGUGUCAAACUCAAACAAAAACAGAUCUCUGCCGGCUACACAGUGACUUAGAAAAUUGCAAGCUAACAUUAUCUACACUGUAUUUUUGUUUAUUUUGCCAAUCAUUUCCCCAUCGCAUUUUCUGAUUGCACUCUGGAGUUUUAUGUGGGCUGCCUGCUGGCCACCAGACACUUAUGCUGGUCCAACCCCUUUAUUUUACAGAAGAAGCAUGGAUGGAAAACUUCAAGUGACUUGUCCAAGGUCAUACACAGGGAUGAAGUGGCAGAACCAGAAUUGAAUCCAGGCCCUCUAAUUCAGAAUCCUGGGAAGGUAGAGAUUUUUGACAAGUUUUUGUACUUAGGUGUUAAGAUCUGGAGAUCACAGGAAGACUUCCAUGAACUGACGCUGAGUGAAGUGGGCGGAACCAGGAAAACAUUGUAUACAGUAACAGCAACAUUGUAUGAUGACUGACUUUGAUAGACUUAGCUCUUCUCAGCAAUACAAUGACUUAAGACAGUUCCAAAAGACUCAUGAUGGUAAAUGCUAUCCACCUCCAGAGAAAGAUAUAUGGAGUCUGAAUGCAGAUCAAAGCAUACUAUUUUUUUUCUCUCUCUCUUUCUCUUCUUUUUUUUUGCUAUGUUUUUUUCUUUCUCAUGGUUUUUCCCUUUUGUUCUGAUUCUUCUCUCACAACACGACUAAUGUCGAAAUAUGUUUAAUAUGAUUGUGCAUAUAUAACCUAUAUCAAAUUGCAUGCUGUCUUGGGGAGAGGGG